AAGUCGUAACAAGGUCUCCGUUGGUGAACCAGCGGAGGGAUCAUUACAGAGUUGCAAAACUCCCUAAACCAUUGUGAACCUACCACUAAACAGUUGCUUCGGCGGGUGGCGCGAGGGCCCCUUCACGGGGGCAGGAGCGCCCUAGACAGCCCGCCGGAGGUACUCAAACUCUUUGUUUACCACAGGCCUCUCUGAGUAUUGUACUUAAAUAAGUCAAAACUUUCAACAACGGAUCUCUUGGUUCUG
rnacentral:misc_RNA from 1 species